UGGGUUGUGGCUUAGCAGUAGAGUUCUCAUCUAGCAUGUGUAAGGCCCUGGGUUCGAUCCCCAGCACCACAU
rnacentral:tRNA from 1 species